CUGGGACACUACGCGUGCUCUGAGCGCCCCCUGCCGCCCGAGUCUUCACCUCCGCGUCGCCUCUGGUCGUCCGGGCUCCAGAGGCUGGCGGAGGAAGGUCCCUUCCUUUCCGGAGCCUCUCGGGGGAAGCGGGUUGACCGAGGACCUUGCGGCUGGAAGGCAUCCCCCACGGGCUCUGGCUCCCUGUUUUUGCAGGCAGCAACUCUCACUUCCCCAAAGACCCCCGGGACUAGUCCCAUCCCGAUGAGCAUCUCCCCAGGAAUAGAUUUGGGACGUUCUUCCUGGAGCAGGAAGUGACCUGAGAUGGGGCUUUCAGCCACCGGCGACACAUUCCUUCCAGGAGGCCCCUUUAAAUGGAUGUACACAUUACAGAAAAAGCAAAGCCGCUUCACGGAGUGAAUUACUUUCUGGGGGAUGCCAAGGAAUGCAUUUACAGGCCGCCAGGUCUGCCAAUAAAAGUUGCAAAUGAAGACUGCUGGUUUCCAGGAAAAUGUACUUCUGUUUUUAAAACACUCCUUAGUCUUAAUUACCAAAAACUGAACCUCCAAAGAACCGGUUUAAAGAACAGGACUAGUGAGUGGCAGUGAUGGUGGCUGUUGGUGAGGUCUCACACCCCCGCAUGCAUUUACACACCCGAACUCGCCGCGUGAGAACAGACCAUGCACACCUACGGCCUUACCAAUGCAGAGGCGCGCCAGUAUUUACAUACACUGCAGACAUAGACACAAGCUCAGCUCUGGCACCCGGGAAGGCCUGCCGAUUUCCAGGAGAAUCAGUUAUCAGAUGGUGUCGACAGUCUGUUGUAAAUCUCACAAAAGAAGAGUUGGAGCUCAUUUUGCAGCACUGCCAGAGAUUUUCUAAGAAAGUAUUUAGAACCCAGAAAGCAUUCCGAAGCAGAUCCAAGCGACAUUAG
rnacentral:lncRNA from 1 species